GAUGAACGCUGGCGGCGUGCUUAACACAUGCAAGUCGAACGGAAAGGCGCAAGCUUGCUUGGGUACUCGAGUGGCGCACGGGUGAGUAACACGUGGGUGAGCUGCCCUGCACUUCGGGAUGUGCCUGGGCAACUGGGUCUAAUACAGGCUAGGACCACUUCUUGGAGGUUGUUGUGGGAAGUUCUUUCGGUGUGGGAUGAGCUUGCGGCCUAUCAGCUUGUUGGUGGGGUAAUGGCCUAACAAGGCUUAGACGGGGAGCCGGCCUGAGGGGGUGUACGGCCGCAUUGGGACUGUGCGAGGGGCCAGACUCGUACGGGUUGCAGCAGUGGCGAAUAUCUGACAAUGGGCGCAAGCGUGAUUCAGCGAGGUCUUGUGGGGGAUGACGGCCUUCGGGUUGGAAACACCGUUCGCUAGGGACGACGCGUUUUUGUGACGGUACCUGCAGAAGAAGCACCGGCUAACUACGUG
rnacentral:rRNA from 1 species